UACGUAGGGUGCAAGCGUUGUCCGGAAUUAUUGGGCGUAAAGCGCUCGUAGGCGGCUUGUCGCGUCGGCUGUGAAAACCUGGGGCUCAACCCCGGGCCUGCAGCCGAUACGGGCAAGCUAGAAUUCGGUAGGGGAGACUGGAAUUCCUGGUGUAGCGGUGAAAUGCGCAGAUAUCAGGAGGAACACCGGUGGCGAAGGCGGGUCUCUGGGCCGAUAUUGACGCUGAGGAGCGAAAGCGUGGGGAGCGAACAGG
rnacentral:rRNA from 1 species